UUUUUAACGGCCGUACCAUCUCGCCCAAGAUACCUGACCUCUCCAGCCCAAGUUUGCCCAUCUAAGAACGGAGGGUGAUGACAUCUAUCUCACAGGCUCAUGAGGACACGGUGUGAAAAACGCCUUGGAUGUGCAGCAGGAACGUAAUACAUGCGAUUAGUACUGUACGUGUUUGGUACCUGGUAUCUCAUUUAAAACAUCACAAUAAUUCUGCAAGUUAGGCUAUGUGCUUGCGUACAGAGGCCGAGGACCUUACUCACGACAAUAUGACGAGGUCAAACCCGGGGGUCCUUGUCCAGGGCUGGCACUGCUUCCUCUGCCCUGCCCACUAGAGGCCCUAGGACAAUCGUGGACUCCCUUCAACCACGGGGGGGGGGGUGUAGCACCCAGUGCUGCCCACAGCUCGCGUUCCAGGGAGCGGUUUGUAAAGCGAAAGCCCACAGUAGGACCACCUGCUUCGAGCCAGGAGCUUCCUAAAAGCAUGCAAAAUUCUAAUGAACUCAGGGAAGGCGAGGGUCUGCUGAUGCUGAGCAUUCAGUGAGGCCGGGAAGGAUUGGGAGCAGCGACCGACCGUGUGGUCUGGGGCAGGUCACCGCAGGAAGUCGUGGGGCGCCCACAAACGGACCACCUGUGCCAAGUCCCCAGAGGGAGACCUCAUGGGGGUGCCCUGCGAGUUGGGUGACUGGAGAGAUAUUCCUAACUGAUGGGGCCCCAGGUCCUUUCUGAGAGCUCUGAGAGGUCACGAGAUGCAGAAAAUAAUAUGAGAUGAGGGAGCAGAACUUCCUGAGUUGGCCAGAGUCCCAAAGUGGACCCCAAAGCCUAGAGGUGUACAGGAUGGGGAAGGCAGUCAGGAGAACAGGACGAUCUGG